UACGAAGGGUGCAAGCGUUACUCGGAAUUACUGGGCGUAAAGCGUGCGUAGGUGGUUCGUUAAGUCUGAUGUGAAAACCCUGGGCUCAACCUGGGAAUGGCAUUGGAAACUGGCGACCUAGAGUGCGGUAGAGGGCAGUGGAAUUCCCGGUGUAGCAGUGAAAUGCGUAGAGAUCGGGAGGAACAUCUGUGGCGAAGGCGACUGCCUGGACCAGCACUGACACUGAGGCACGAAAGCGUGGGGAGCAAACAGG
rnacentral:rRNA from 1 species